UCAGGCGUAGCUCGUUGGUAUGAGCGGCCGGCAGUUAACCGGAGGGUUGGUGUUAUAAACAGGACGUCCUUUUAUAACCUGGGUUCGAUUCCCCCCGCCUGAG
rnacentral:tRNA from 1 species